rnacentral:rRNA from 1 species
CGGGGACAGUGUCAGGUGGGCAGUUUGACUGGGGCGGUCGCCUCCUAAAGAGUAACGGAGGCGCCCAAAGGUUCCCUCAGAAUGGUUGGAAAUCAUUCGAAGAGUGCAAAGGCAUAAGGGAGCUUGACUGCGAGACCUACAAGUCGAGCAGGGACGAAAGUCGGGCUUAGUGAUCCGGUGGUACCGCAUGGAAGGGCCAUCGCUCAACGGAUAAAAGCUACCCUGGGGAUAACAGGCUUAUCUCCCCCAAGAGUCCACAUCGACGGGGAGGUUUGGCACCUCGAUGUCGGCUCAUCGCAUCCUGGGGCUGAAGUAGGUCCCAAGGGUUGGGCUGUUCGCCCAUUAAAGCGGUACGCGAGCUGGGUUCAGAACGUCGUGAGACAGUUCGGUCCCUAUCUGUCGUGGGCGUAGGAAAUUUGAGAGGAGCUGUCCUUAGUACGAGAGGACCGGGAUGGACGUACCGCUGGUGUACCAGUUGUUCCGCCAGGAGCACCGCUGGGUAGCUAUGUACGGACGGGAUAAGCGCUGAAAGCAUCUAAGCGUGAAGCCCCCCUCAAGAUGAGAUUUCCCAGUAUGUAAGACCCCUUGAAGACGACGAGGUAGAUAGGCUGGGGGUGGAAGUGCAGUAAUGCAUGGAGCUGACCAGUACUAAUCGGUCGAGGGCUUAUCCAA